rnacentral:pre_miRNA from 1 species
UAUUAAAAAUUUCAUCCAUUUGUACUAUUAUAAAUUAGUGUGGUUGAUGAAAUAACUAAAUAGUGACAUGUGGCAUGCAAAGCAAAGUGUACCUCAACUAACGUACAUGGACCAACUUUUAAUAGUAGAAAUGAAUAAUUUUUUUAACA